GACGAACGCUGGCGGCGCGCCUAACACAUGCAAGUCGAACGGAGCUGAGAGGAGCUUGCUUUUCUUAGCUUAGUGGCGAACGGGUGAGUAACGCGUGAGUAACCUGCCCUGGAGUGGGGGACAACAGUUGGAAACGACUGCUAAUACCGCAUAAGCCCACGGAGCCGCAUGGCUUUGGGGGAAAAGGAUUUAUUCGCUUCAGGAUGGACUCGCGUCCAAUUAGCUAGUUGGUGAGGUAACGGCCCACCAAGGCGACGAUUGGUAGCCGGACUGAGAGGUUGAACGGCCACAUUGGGACUGAGACACGGCCCAGACUCCUACGGGAGGCAGCAGUGGGGGAUAUUGCACAAUGGGGGAAACCCUGAUGCAGCGACGCCGCGUGGAGGAAGAAGGUUUUCGGAUUGUAAACUCCUGUCGUUAGGGACGAUAAUGACGGUACCUAACAAGAAAGCACCGGCUAACUACGUGCCAGCCGCCGCAGUAACAC
rnacentral:rRNA from 1 species